CCUACGGGUGACAGCAGUGGGGAAUAUUGGGCAAUGGGCGCAAGCCUGACCCCGCAACGCCGCGUGAAGGAAGAAGGCUUUCGGGUUGUAAACUUCUUUUCUGGGGGACGAACAAAUGACGGUACCCCAGGAAUAAGCCACGACUAACUACGUGCCAGCAGCCGCGGUAAUACGUAGGUGGCAAGCGUUAUCCGGAUUUAUUGGGUGUAAAGGGCGAGUAGGCGAGAAUGCAAGUCAGAUGUGAAAACUCAGGGCUCAACCCUGGGCCUGCAUUUGAAACUGUGUGUCUUGAGUGCUGGAGAGGAAAGCGGAAUGCCGUGUGUAGCGGUGAAAUGCGUAGAUAUACGGAGGAACACCAGUGGCGAAGGCGGAUUGCUGGACAGUAACUGACGCUGAGGCGCGAAAGCGUGGGGAGCAAACAGGAUUAGAUACCCUUGUAGUC
rnacentral:rRNA from 1 species